rnacentral:rRNA from 1 species
GUACACACCGCCCGUCACACCAUGAGAGUUGGAGAUACCCGAAGCCUGUGAGCUAACUUUUAGAGGCAGCAGUCGAAGGUAGAAUCAAUGAUUGGGGUGAAGUCGUAACAAGGUAGC